CUACCUGCAGCUAUCAUUGCCCUCAUAGCUCAACCAGGUUCUCUCUUACCUCACUCUAUACUUAUGUGUGAUUGUAAUCUCACAGAUUUGCCUUCAUAUUGCCCUCAUCACUGGAAAUUAUUUUCCAGUUACUGUUUAUGUGCUCAGUAUGUUCUUAAUCUCCUUGAUAUCUCGCUGUUUAAAUCUCCCUGUUUAUCUCUCUAAAAUUUCUGUUUUAUUUCCUGUCUUCAUGUAAUAUCUUUCUUUCUUUCCUUUGUAAUAUUUCCCUGUUUUCAUUUUGUAAGCAGAUGUGAAUAUUAAUAAAGAAUGCUAGUGUGAUUUUCUAUGACAUAUGCUUGCCUGUUAUGCAGUUUAAAAUCUUAUUUAAUAUUAAGAUAGGUAAUACUAGUUACGCCCAGUGGGUAGUACUAGAUAUCUCAAUAGUUCCCCUCAUAGGAAUCAUAUUAUUCUGUUUAAAUUAUUAUCGAAUUUUACAAUCCUUA
rnacentral:lncRNA from 1 species